CAGCCGCCGCGGGAAUACGAAGGGGGCUGGCGUUGCUCGGAAUGACUGGGCGUAAAGGGCGCGUAGGCGGCGGCCAAAGUCAGGCGUGAAAUUCCCGGGCUCAACCUGGGGGCUGCGUUUGAUACUUGGUUGCUUGAGUGGGGAAGAGGGUCGUGGAAUUCCCAGUGUAGAGGUGAAAUUCGUAGAUAUUGGGAAGAACACCGGUGGCGAAGGCGGCGACCUGGUCCUUUACUGACGCUGAUGCACGAAAGCUAGGGGAGCGAACAGGAUUAGAUACCCCCGUAGUCCCUGUCUCUUAUAA
rnacentral:rRNA from 1 species